rnacentral:rRNA from 1 species
AUACGUAGGGGGCGAGCGUUGUCCGGAAUGACUGGGCGUAAAGGGUGCGUAGGCGGCCAGGUAAGUCAGAUGUGAAAGGCAUAGGCUCAACCUAUGCAAGCAUUUGAAACUGUCUGGCUUGAGUCGAGGAGAGGAAAGUGGAAUUCCUGGUGUAGCGGUGAAAUGCGUAGAUAUCAGGAGGAAUACCAGUGGCGAAGGCGACUUUCUGGACUUGGACUGACGCUGAGGCACGAAAGCGUGGGGAGCAACCAGGAUUAGAUACCCUGGUAGUCCACGCUGUAAACGAUGAGUGCUAGGUGUCGGGGCGAAAGCUUCGGUGCCGGAGUUAACACAAUAAGCACUCCGCCUGGGGAGUACGGUCGCAAGACUGAA